AUACGUAGGUGACAAGCGUUAUCCGGAUUUACUGGGCGUAAAGGGCGCGUAGGCGGGAAAUUAAGUCAGGUGUGAAAACUCCGAGCUCAACUUGGAGAUUGCACUUGAAACUGGUAUUCUUGAGGGCAGGAGAGGAAAGUGGAAUUCCUAGUGUAGCGGUGAAAUGCGUAGAUAUUAGGAGGAACACCAGUGGCGAAGGCGGCCUGCUGGACGACAACUGACGCUGAGGCGCGAAAGCGUGGGGAGCAAACAGGAUUAGAUACCCUGGUAGUCCACGUUGUAAACGAUGAAUACUAGGUGUGGGGGGACUGACCCCCUCCGUGCCGCAGUUAACACAAUAAGUAUUCCACCUGGGGAGUACGAUCGCAAGAUUGAAACUCAAAGGAAUUGGCGGGG
rnacentral:rRNA from 1 species